GACGAACGCUGGCGGCGUGCUUAACACAUGCAAGUCGAACGGAGCGAAUGAAAGCUUGCUUUUAUAAGCUUAGUGGCAAACGGGUGAGUAGCACGUAGACAACCUGCCGACAGGAUGGGGACAACAUUCCGAAAGGAAUGCUAAUACCGAAUGAAGUGCAGGGGAGGCAUCUCCCCUGCAUGAAAGAUGGCCUCUUUUUAUGCUAUCACCUGUUGAUGGGUCUGCGUCUGAUUAGCUGGUAGGUGAGGUAACGGCUCACCUAGGCGACGAUCAGUAGCCGGUCUGAGAGGAUGAACGGCCACAUUGGGACUGAGACACGGCCCAGACUCCUACGGGAGGCAGCAGUGGGGAAUCUUCCGCAAUGGGCGCAAGCCUGACGGAGCAACGCCGCGUGAGUGAAGAAGGUCUUCGGAUCGUAAAGCUCUGUUGAUGGGGACGAACGUGCCUAAUGCGAAUAGUUUUAGGCAAUGACGUACCCAUCGAGAAGCCCCGCA
rnacentral:rRNA from 1 species